rnacentral:lncRNA from 1 species
CAUUACUGUUCCUACCACUGCUGUAUGUUUCAUCAUGGUGGUAAUAGUAUGCUAGGUAAUGGUGGCUGAAACAGAAUUUCACAUAACAAGGGAGGGGAAAUGCAUCUGUCUCAAAUCCAAAAUGGCACCCUAUUCUCUACAUAGUGCACUACUUCCCAAGGGGCCCUAGUCAAAAGUAGUGCACUCUAUAGACCUAGGUAAUAGGGUGCCAUUUGGGUAGCAGAUAUGUAGAUGUUCUUUCACAUUGUUCACACUCGUAAUGCAGUGACACAACAAAGGAAGCUGGGUGGAUACCAUAACACUAUAGCCAGUCUGAGAUUAAACUCUAACUGAAUUACGUCAAUGAGUUCCUAUGAAUUUAUUAUUUGACCUAUGGAUGAUCCGAUGCUUGUCUAGAGGCAAAAUGGACUCUGUACAGAAGACCUCUGCGAAUAAAAGCUUUUGCUUCACCCCAAGGGAAACAUAAAAUACAAAAAAAAUAUUUCCACAUCAUAAACACAAUCUGCUCAGGAAGCUAGUUUUAUAAUGAGCAUGUUUGCUUGGCUAUGAUCACAAUAGGUGGAUUAGAGGAUUUCCGGGUGUUGUCAUUGUGACUUUGUCAUUGAAAUAUUGAAGAAAAUGGGCCAUGGAAUACAAGUCCCAUGCAGCUUUUCAAUGAAACUAGCUUCACAACCAAACAUUUGCACUAUACAUCUAUAGCUAGUUUAAUUAGAUAUAUACAGUUAUAUAUAUAUAUAUUUUCAUAUAUAUAUAUAUAUAUAUGAUUAUAGAACAUUCUACUGUGUAUUGGACUGUGUGUGGUUUAAAUUGAACUUGAAAUAAGUCCUUUGUUGUUUUAUUUUGUUCACAUUUAGAUUCACCCCAAUGUUAACCCUCAAUGAAUAUUUGUGAAUCAGGCAUACAUUGUUGAGUAAAGUUAAUAUAUCCCGAGGUAAAGGUAUAUUAUUUUUUCAACAGAGGAGUUUUAACACAAAAGCACUCAUUUAAUUUGCUAAACUGAGUGGUAGCUAUGUUGGACAAAUAGUCUUAUUGGGGACCAAUUUAAUCCAGCCAAUAUCAGAGUAAUUGAAUUCACACUCAGUUCAGAGCUUGUCUCUGGGAGUUAUUUUAUCAUAAACUCCCUGACAGUGAUCUGAAUGAUCAAAUAUUACCGGAAAAGCACGGGCAACACAGCUCAUCUGGGUUACAAUCUGCA